ensembl:vault_RNA Vault Vault RNA
GUGCCAGUUUAGCUGAGUGGUUUCUUCUUAUGGACAUACACCUUGAGGCGUCAAACCGCAGGUGCUGCCGGGCGUUUUU